rnacentral:lncRNA from 1 species
AGAGAGAGAGGCAGAGACACAGGCAGAGGGAGAAGCAGGUUCCCUGCAGGCAGCCUGAUAUGGGACUCGAUUCUGGGACCUCAGGGUCACGCCCUGAGCAGAAGGCAGACGCUCAAACACUGAGCCACCCAGGUGCCCCCAUUACCCUGAAUUUAAAUGAUCAACUAUUGGGACUUUAGAGUAUGGGGUAAUGACAGCAAGCAAGAAUAUUACAGAAACAGCUGAACAGUUGCUCACAGAUGAGCUUUCUCUAUAUAGAACCUCUGUAGUCUCUUUCUGUCUGAUUCUGGACCCAAGGUCCCAUUUAUUUCCACUACCGCACACACUUACAUGGUGAGUAUGUAAGUCUUUUUUAGUCUGUUAGGACCACAGGGCACAAAAUCAUGCAACAAGCUAGGAUGUUACACAGGUAGCCUACAUUUAUCUUUAUGACUCUACUCCCAUACCAUGUCAGGAAUUCUAGGACUAUCAUCCAGUUGGCCUUUGGAGACACCCAUUUAACUUUAAUUCCUAUAAAUAGCUUCUUGGAUAAUUUGAAAGUAUUUCCCUGCAACUAUCACCGUUGCAAUAUCUCAAGUUUUCUCUGCCUUGGAAACUUUAAUAUUGCAUAAAUAGAGGAAGUCAAGAGAUUAGUCAAUGUAACAUUUUCAUUUCAUUUUAUGAACAACUGACUCACUCCACCCCCUGCUCAAAGCACACAGCAGUGAUAGGGAAGUCGUUUUAGAAGAAGAAUAGCACACCUUAAUAAAUCUCAUAAACUGAAUUAAAUAUUUCAUCAGACAGAUAUGGAAGAGAAAAACAAAGAGAUAAGUGGAUCUGAACCUGCAGAUAAGUAGGACUAUUACUUCAGAAUCGAGCAAGAGAUACUGGAAUUCUCCUGCCGAGAGAUGGCUUAUUAAUCAAUCAGCAGGAUGGUGGCAACACACUGAUAUUAAGAUGACUCAGGAAGGUUUAAUAAAGGGACUGAUUCCCAAAUAAUGUCAAGAUGUAACGUAAACAAUAGGUUUCUCUACCCCAGGGGAGAGCUGUUAUCUCACCCUAGACCCCAAGUAAUGAAGAGAUUAGUAGUUACCAGAACAAGAAAGGAAAGGGUCAUGCAAUGAAAAUUAGGUCAGUUCUGUUGAGAUAAAGAGCCAAUUUUUCUGCGGAACAUCUCUAGUCUCUUCUGAAAACUCAUGGAAGUAUUCUAAGCCAUAAAUACCUCUGCUUCCCACUUCGAAUACCACUCUGCUUCCCAUUCAUCUCUGGCUGGGGCUUCCCCUGGCCAUGAGGAUGAGCACUGAUAUUCUCUAUCCGGGUUAUAGUCUCCUUGAAUAAGACCAUAAUGGACACCAUGAGGUAGACAGAGAGGGGCCAACAGCAUAUCUACACAGAUGGGGGAUAAAAAUGUCUGGGCUUUUGACUCAAAACAAAAUCUGAAGUGACACACUCCCAAUCCAAGGAAAUAGCUGAAAAGCCCAUACUGAUCACCUCCUGGGGUCCUGGCUUAUUAUAUUAUAUUAAAAAAAAAUGAUUACUUUUUAGAGAGGAAGAUGAACCAGUUAUAAGUCCAUAAUUCAGGAACAAACUGAUUAUUGAUGAGAUAUCAAAUCCAUAAUAUAUCUACUAUUACCACAAGAAAAAAUUCCCAGCUAGAUAGUAUAACCUGGUUCAACAACAGGAAGUCAGAAGAAGGCAACCACAAAUCUACCAGGUAAGGAAGAAGGGAUCUGAGAAGGAGAGGUGAAGGGAAACACACACACGCACAUGUGUACACACACAUAGAAGCAUUCAAGGGCAUCUAACAUUUUAAAAUCAAAAACUUAAAGAAAGACAACAAACAAGCAGUAGAAGAUGGGUUUACUCUAGAGGAAAUUUGAAUGCUAUAUACAAUGUUAUAAAAUAAGUAAAUUUAGAGUCCCCAGAGAAGUAAAGGACAGCAUAAGAAAACUCUGAAUUCUGUUCAAUAAUAAGGGAAAUGUUAAAUUGUGGAAAAUAAAAAUAUAUGCAGUCACUUAAGAAACUCAAUAGAGAUUAAAAUAUCUAACCAUCACAGUGAAAUUGAGAACUGGAUAACUAAGAUAGAGAAUAUCACCCAGAAUGCAAUACACACACAUUUUUUUUUAAAAAGAAAUAAAACCAUGAAAGAGCCAUUAAAAGACAUGAGAGUUAUGGUGACAGGCUGUACCAUAUGUCUUAAUAAAGUUCCAAAAGAAAAUAAAGGAAAUGACAAGGAAGCCUCUCUUAAGGAGGAAAAAAAUAAGCUUCUCCAGAAAUAUGAUGACAGAAGUACGCUGAGAAGGUAAACUGAAGCAAAUCAACAACUGAACGUACCGGAUUGAUAAUAUAUAACAUUUAGAAUAAAAAGAAAAAAGUAAAACUAUCAGAUAGAAAAGGCAUACUUAUCUAAAAAGAAAUAGCAAAUAGGCUGACAACAGAUGUCACAUGUGAUAUAACAAUGCCAGAAAAUCAUGCACUAAAAGCCUCAUCAUGCUGUACAAAACUCAAUGUUAAACUAGAUUUCUAACCCUGCUCAACUACCAUUCAGAAAUUAGUGGAAAAUGAAAACAUUUUAAUAUGAACAAAACAGAAUAGUUUAAAAGCCAGAGACAAUCACUGGGAUAAGGAACAAAGGAUAUAAUUUAGAAGACAAGAGAAAGGAGAAAAAUGACUGGGCUUAGAGUUUAUACAUAUUUGCACACAGAAAUGUAAUGUACUCAAAUAUAAAAAUAACAAAUUAUUUCCUAACGAAGUUGGAACUAACUUAAGAGAAAAAAUUUUUUUUUUUAAUUCUGAUUUUGUUUGUGGGUGUGUGUACGCGCAUGUGCAGGCCAAUGCUGAGUGCUUUCUCUGUCAUUUACUAAUAGGAUUCCAAUCAAUAAUAGAAUAUUCUUCACAAAAUUUUUGUGAAUGUUGAAUGAGGCAACUUAUGCAUUUAAAACAGUUCCGAGUACCAAAAGAAGCACUGGAUGAUAACUUAAAAUGAUUCUACAUAUUUUCUACUUGUUUAAGAAAAUUCCAUUUUCAUUGGAAACAUGGGAGAGAAUGCACCGUCCACUUUACUCAGUUACUUUAUUGUAUUUUCUCUCUCCUUGUUAAAAAUCAUGUCCAGUUCCAGGCACAAAUUCCCUGACACACGAAAUUAAACUUGGUAACUGAAGCAUCUAGAAGGAUCCCUCAUAUAUGAUUUCAAGACAGUUGCUAUUAUAUUAAAAUAUUUAAUUAUAAAAGAGUUUGAAAAGAAUUCCAUUAUUCAUGUGUUUAUUGACCUACUCAGUUAUUUUGGACUCCUCAAGUGACAUUUUCAAUGUUUCAUUGUUGAUAGUAGGUAUUUAUAUAGACCGAUGAAAAGAGGAAAUCAGUAAUUACUACCAUUAUUUUUGGUAGUCAUAUCCUACAUGUUUUAACCCAAGAAAUAUGUAUUAUAGGAUGGAACUAGAGGGUAUUAUGCUAAGUGAAAUAAGUCCGAGAAAGACAAAUACCAUAUGAUUUCACUCAUGUGGAAUUCAAUAAAGAAAAUCGAUGAACAUAGGGGAAGAAAAGGAAAAAUAAAAUAAUAUGAAAACAGGGAGGGAGCCAAACCAUAAGAGACUCUUAACUAUAGGAAACAAAUGGAGGGUUGCUGGAGAGGAGAUGGGUGGGGUGAUGGGGUCACAGGGUGAUGGGCAUUAAGGUGGGUACUUGAUGUGAUGAGCACUGGGUGUUAUAUGCAACUGAUGAAUCAGUAAAUCCUACUCCUGAAACUAAAACAAACAAACAAACAAACAAAUAACAAAACCCCACAUAUUAUUAAUUCCAUUCCAUAGUAGAAAAUACUAAAACUUAGAAAAUUCAAUAUAUUUUUUAAGAAAAAUAAGAGGUAGAGCAUGAUUUGAAAUUGUCUUCUCCUUUAGAACCUACAAUAAAAAAGGUCUCAUAACUACAAUUACACAAUGUAUGAGAACUUCAUUUGUAUGCAAUUUAUACAUCAUCUAAUCAAUAUAGACCCAAAAGUUCAUGUGACUACAUUUCUGGAAAAAACAAAAACAAAAAACCAAAAAAACUGUGCCCAGUGAACCUGCAUGAUUAUAAAAAUGGUUAUUUAUCCUUUUGAGAUGGCAGGAUUACUACGUGAAUUGUUUUAUGUAGUUUAUUUUUGUCUCAUAACCUCCUUUCCAUACACAGGACGGGGAUGGGGCUGGAUAUAGGAUGUUAUUUUGUUGGCGGCUACCACUAGCAGAUCUCCCUCACGAGGCUCAGGAAAGUGGGUAUGGGCAGAUAAUGGUGCUCAGUAGCUCUACAGCAAACUGGCACCAAAGAGGGAAUCGUGUCCCUUAGAUGUUCCACUGACCAGGAAAGAAGCCUAAAUUAAUGACAAAUUCUGUAGUCUAAUCCUAUCAAUUCUAGGGCAACAGCAAUUACGCUGUUAAUAGAUUAAAUUUUAAAAAUAUGUAUUAUUUCUUUUGACAUAAUAUAGACUCUUUGAGUUUGUAGAUGCACUGUCCUCUCUAGCCGUUUCAAAUAAUAGACAUCAAUCAGGAAGGUCAUUUGACCAUUGUUUGAUUUUGUACAAUCUUGAUCAUUGCAAGUGGAGUGGUGUAACUUUCCAAAUAGCUCUUGAAACCAAUAUUUUUCCUUUCCUCAAGAAUCCAAAAUAGCAUAUUUCAUGAUUCUUCAAAUCUUCAGAGUGGCUCCUGUUGCUUCUAGCAACUAAAUUUCCUGCCAAGCUUUUACUGUGAAAAUCAUAGAUUUCUUUUGAAAACUGGUGCACUGAGGAAGUAAUAAUGUUAUUUCAAUUAUAUAAUUAACGAAAAGCUGAUGUUCUGUUUGAAUGUAAUUGUAAGGAAAAAAUAAAAAAGUCAUUGUAUUUUAUUUAUAGCUAAUUAUAAACAUAUAGAAAAUAAUAAGUCUUUGAAUCAUGGGAUCUCACAGAUGUUCUAAAUCAUCUUAUUUAAGUUUCCAUCUGAGAUAACUGGACUGUAUUUUUCUUAAAACUCAUUCUUUCACUUUUCUAAAUUUCUUCGAAGUAGAUAACACCAAAUAUCAGUUCACGUUCUAAGAGAUCACAUUACUUCAAAGAAACAAAGAGGACUACCUUUAAGAAUGCUUGAUCUUUUGACAUUUUAAAGAUAAUUUUUUAAUAAUUUGAAGAUAUUUUGAAAAGCAUGUUUUUUACAUUGAUUGGAUAAAUUAUACAAUGCUUUUUAGAGAUUUUAAAGAAUUUUCAUAUGAAGGACAUUUCAAUUAAUUUUUGUAAGAAUUCUAGGAUAUGUUACCUAACAUAUGAAUCCCCUGAAAUUUAUAUAGAUUUGUAAACUGGAUUAUGUUACAGGUAAGAGCCUGAGAAAUAACAAUUAACUCAAAUAAAUUACUGAUUUAUACCUCUUUACUGGCUUUUCUCUUCCUCUAGUGUGUAUAUAAUUGUAUAUAAAUGUUUGAUGGCACUUUCUAUUAUGUAAUCCUCCAAGAGGGCAGCAUUUCUAUGCCAUGCACUAUUGCAUUAUCAUUGCUCCCAGAACAAUACCUUGGACAUAGUAGAUCUUCAAUCAUAAUUUCAGAUGGAAUAGAUCAUUAUAUGUCAAUAUGUGUAUGAUCAAGUAUACC